AUCCAAUUCAAUAACGUUAGGAAAAUCUGAAGGUUAAUUUAAGCGGACCUAAUUAACUUGGGGCGUUAAGAAUUCAUGGGUUAUUGAAAAGCAAUUGGAAAUCGUUUUAAAUGCAAGUAUAACAUGUGUGGAGAUGAACCCCUUAGCUAGCCUUCCAUCCAUUCAUUUAAACCAAAUUCUAUUUUAAAAUCUGUUCGUUUUACAAAGUUUUGUUUUGUUUUCAAAUUCGUCCAAAAUCAAUCCCCCUUUUCUUUGUUGAGUCAUAUUAGUUAGAAGUCAAGUUAGUUUGUGUUUUUAAGUGUUUUGAGUCAAGUUAAAACCUAAUUUCGUCCAAGUUUGUGUCUAGUGUUCAAAACUGCCCAGAUUGUGUUUUUAAGGCAGUUUUGAGUGUUUUGGUGCUGUUUUGAGUCUUUUGGUUUGUUUUGGUAUUUUAAAGUUUAGCUUUGCAUUCUUUGAGUAUAGUUUAGUGUUUUAAACUUGUUUUUACGUAAUUGAGUCAGUUUUCAAGUGAUUUUGCAAUCCCUCCUAAUCCCCGGCCUAGAACGAUCCCUACUUACAUACUUACUACAAUUGAUAAAAAGAGGGUUAAUUUGAGUGUUAGUUAAUAUCAUAUCACCACUACACCCUACAACUUCUUCAUGGCUAUUCG
rnacentral:lncRNA from 1 species